CAGAAGUAGUACUAGUCACUAUUUCCUUAGCAUUCUUCAUUUAUCUUAUGUUUAUGCUGAAGUAGAGUAUUCGGGCAGUGUGUCUGCUAAAAAAAUGAAACAUCAGAAAGAAGUUUAUUUAUUUGUACUCUAAAUGGUUAUUGUUUUCAGGUUUCAGAAAAGCAGAUUGCUGCAAGUACAGUUAGCAAAAAGCAAAAUAGAGGAAUGCUUAAAGAAUAGCAAAAAGAGAUGGCACCAUUUAUGUUUCCCAUUUUCAAAAUAAAAAUUUCAAGACAUGAAUAAAGGAAAAUGGACAGUAUAUUACAGAGCGAAUUCAGUCUUGGUGAAAGCUGCUGGAUGAAUAGUUUUCACGCGGACCCAAGUAAGGGGGGUAUUUACGAGUCAAAAUGUUACUCAAUAAUUUGACAAAGAAACAUUACACACUAUACAUAUUAUCAUUUAUUUCAGGUGAAGGAAGGAAGGAAACCAUGGAAAUUUGAAUUUUUGGGAAAAAGACUAGAUGAAGAAAGGAUAAAUCCAUUAUCUGAAAUAAAGUGGAAAAAAUGUUGCCAGCAGAUGACAGUCUUGAUGGAGGACUCCAGGAUACAAGAUUCUUAUUCAAAGACCUGGAAAGAGAGAGGAAACACCUAAGGCUUGAGGCUCUAAGCUCAGACAGAAGGCGAGCAUGUUCUAGUCCUGUCAUCCUCCAACAAUGCAGCUGCAAUCAGAUCUACCCUGUCAGAGGGGAAAAGCAUUCUUCUAAAAUAUAUCAUCUGAGGCAAGUCAUAACCUCUCUCAUUCUUAGUUUGUCAACCAUUAAAAGAGGAAAAUAGCACAUACCCAGCAGAGCAUAGCUGUUAGGUUUGAAUGUGAAAUUAUGAGAAAAUUGUCUUGCACAAACUGGACAUAGAGUAGGUGGUCAAACAAUCUUUCCUGAAUCUAUGGCCAUGUACAAUAGAAACUGUAUGGGCAUAUUUCUUAAAUGUAGAAAAUAAGCUUUGAAUUUACAGGUUAUUUAGACUUAAAAUGUAUCUUGUUAGGACCAAAGAAAUACUGUUGAAAAUAUGUUGGGUCCAUCUCUGACGAUACAGGAGUAUAUCAACUGAGCCUUGGCAGGCUUGGAUUAAAGGUACUCAGAGGCUAGCCCAUGGAAUGAUUUGAGGUUCCCACCUGUAGAAAUGAAAAUGCAUAAAUGUCAUAACUCUUCUUGUGUGUUACUGGGCAGCCAACUCCUGUUCCAUACCUCACUCUGCCACCCGCUAUCUGAUGUGUUGUCACCUCCUCAAUUAUCUAAUCCUUUGCUUUGAUUCAUUCCCUUACAGUGUGUUUGUCCUCUUGUAAAAGCUACCUGUCUUGCACAGGGUUGGUUAUAGACCUCAUAUCAGAUUUCGAGGACUGCAAGAUUUGAUUCCUCCCUUCUCAGUAUUUUAUGGUGAUUUGACAUUGGUGAAAAAACAGGCAGACAUCAUUUUAUUACAGAUGUUGCUGUGCUGCAAUCGCUCUCUGAGGUUAAUACAGCAAACAAUUGUCUUUUUGUCUCAGCUGUGUUUCCACCUUUGAUAUAUGUUUUUGGUACCUAAGAUCACAAAAAAUCAGGCAAUAUUGUAAAGUGUAGAUACUAAGGCCAUCAAGGUUUUUAAUAAUUUUCUUUGUCCCUUAACUGUGUUGCAUCUACAAAUGGUACAUCUAUGAAAGUAAAUAAUUGAAGAUGAAAGAAAGAAGUUGCAGCCAAUAUUUUUUUUCUUUCAAAUCUAUCAAAUUAAGAAUUUUUUACCUUUAUAGUUGUUGGCGAUUUAUACUGCCAUCACAUUUACAUGUGCUCUGAUCCUUUCACCUCUUAUAGCAAUAGUCAAAAUUUAUAUCUUAGAUUUUGUCUGAAUUUUAAUUUGGCUUCCUUAUGUAUUCUUCGUUUAUACCCAUUGAAAAUGAAUAUUCCCUAUCGAGAAAGUUUCUGUCAUUGGAGAGAGAAAAUAGUAUUUUGGGGUACUUACAAUUUACUAGGUACUUUAUGCAAAUUAUUUUGAUUAAUCUUUAUGGCAAGAGUUUUGUUUCUAUUUAUAUGAGAUGUCUUUUUAAAAAGGCUUUAAUCC